rnacentral:sRNA from 1 species
CACCGCCUGGGGAGUACGACCGCAAGGUUAAAACUCAAAUGAAUUGACGGGGACCCGCACAAGUAGUGGAGCAUGUGGUUUAAUUCGAAGAUACGCGCAGAACCUUACCAACACUUGACAUGUUCGUCGCGACUUUAAGAGAUUAAAGUUUUCGGUUCGGCCGGACGAAACACAGGUGCUGCAUGGCUGUCGUCAGCUCGUGUCGUGAGAUGUUGGGUUAAGUCCCGCAACGAGCGCAACCCUCACUUUUAGUUGCCAUCAUUAAGUUGGGCACUCUGAAAGAACUGCCAGUGAUAAGCUGGAGGAAGGCGGGGAUGACGUCAAGUCCUCAUGGCCCUUACGUGUUGGGCUACACACGUGCUACAAUGGUAUUUACAACAGGAAGCAAAACGGCGACGUUAAGCAAAUCCUCAAAAAAUACCUCAGUUCGGAUUGCACUCUGCAACUCGAGUGCAUGAAGCUGGAAUUACUAGUAAUCGUGGAUCAGCGUGCCACGGUGAAUGCGUUCCCGGGUCUUGUACACACCCGCCCGUCACACCAUGGGAGUUGGUUCUACCUUUAAAGGCAAGGUUUUAAAACCCUUGACCACGGGUAUAGUCAGCGACUGGGGUGAAGUCGUAACAAGGUAGCCGUAGGGGAACCUGCGGCUGGAUUACCUCCUUUUCUAAGGAUGAAUGAAAAUUAUUUUUCAUUCUAAAUAAUUUACAUAGGCAAUGUUGACCGUCCUCAUUUCUCUUCUUAAUAGUGUUUCUCUUGCAUGGGGGCCGGUAGCUCAGUUGGUUAGAGCACACCCUUGAUAAGGGUGGGGUCGAAAGUUCGAGUCUUUCUCGGCCCACCAAUUUUAAAGGGGGGAUUAGCUCAGCUGGGAGAGCGCCUGAUUUGCAUUCAGGAGGUCAGCGGUUCGAUCCCGCUAUCCUCCACCAUAAACACUCAGUUAUUAUAAUUUGUGAAUAAAAAUAAUUAAUAUCAAUAUCUAUAUCCGAACAUUAGAAAUUUUAUUAACUAAUGUUCAAUUAAAAAUUUGAUUCAACACAGAAUUUUUUUCUG